UUCGAUGAUGAUGAUGAUGUCAAAUGAUAUAUGAGUAGAUGCUUGCGUUAAUCAUUCUCUUCGAUCGAUCGUCAUGAUUACUGGACGAACAAAGAAGAAAGUAUUGCUCGAUCAGAAGUAUUGUAUGAAAGAUGAUCUCUCUCUUCACCGUAUAUAGCCGUUCUCAUUGGAAUCGCUUGGCAACUUCUUCACCGACGAUCCAAGUUGCGCAGCCACCGUGAAAAUCGCCGAGGAUCUAGUCGUCUUACAUGUCUAUUCCUCUUCUCCAUCAUCGUUGCGUUGGGUUGAAGCAGGUCGUUCGUUGGGUUUUGGUGGACUUUUUUCGCUUUUCUUCCGCAGGCGCGCUGUCUUUAGGGAUGGUGGCUUAUCGGCCCUAUGUAAUCUCUGAAAGGUUUUCAACGCUUCCCGGAGGAUUCCCAUUCGCGAGCCACCAUAAGAAACCGGCGUCGGAUUUUUGAAGUCCGCUAAUCGGGUUAUCUCAUUCCUUUCUUUUCGAUUACAGUUGGACACAGUUCGAUUAGAAAAUUGCUUAUCAAAUUCCUGUUUCACUCUGGAUUUAGAUCGGGUAUACGCUAUGGAACGCGGAGUACAGAAUCUCAUUGAUGAGGAAUUUUGAUAUACAAUCAGACAGUUGGACUAGAUCAGACUUUGCAGAGGAAAAUCAUGUUCUGGAAGUGAAGAGUAGUGAUGAGACAGACGAUGAUCGGUGUGCAGAUUAUUUGGAGAAGAUGGAUAUCAAAAGCAUUGGGGCUUUGUCUCCUGAAGCUCUAAACUAUAUUCAGAACCUGGAAUCCGAACUAUCAUUGUCUAUAAGGAACUGGAUGAGAAGAAGCAAGAAACUGCACAAAUAGAAAGUUGUAUGAGAGAAAAUAACAAUGACCUAUUGGAGUAUUUGAGGUCCUUGGAAUCUGAUAUGGUAACUGAACUAUCACAGCCAUCUUCGUCAGAAGUUGAGGAUUAUAUUCAAAAACUUGUUCAAAAUAUUUUACGCCAAUUCUAUAAAGAAGCAUCAUUAAGGAAUGCGGCCGAGACUGAAGAGCUACACAACAGUAUAACCGCUUCUUCACGUGAUUACCUAGCAAAGCUUCUAUUCUGGUCAGCCCAUUUUUUCUGGGAAAUUUGAGCAGAUGGCCCCACUGACAGGGUGAAUUACCAUUUGUGCGGGUGGAUAAUUUAAAUAGCGCUGGUGACCCUCUUCUAUCGCCUUCUUGUGUCCUCCAUUAUGACUGGGUAUACGCUAUGGAACGCGGAGUACAGAAUCUCAUUGAUGAGGAAUUUUGAUAUACAGUCAGACAGUUGGAGUAGAUCAGAUUUUGCAGAGGAGAAUAAUGUUCUGGAAGUAAAGAGUGAUGAAACAGAAGAUGAUCGGUGUGCAGAUUAUGCGGAGAAGAUGGAUAUCAAAAGCAUUGGGGCUUUGUCUCCUGAAGCUCUGAACUAUAUUCAGAACCUAGAAUCCGAACUAUCUUUGUCUAAGAAGGUUAGUGAUAGUAUCUUUGGUCAUGAGUACUAAUAUGAUCCCUAUUUAAAAAUUGUAUAGACAAU